GCCAGGCGUGGUGGCGCAUGCCUGUAAUCCCAGCCACUCAGGAGGCUGAGGCAGAAGAAUCGUUUGAGCCUGGGAGGCUGAGGCUGCAGUGAGCUGAGAUCAUGCCGCUGCACUCCAGCCUGGACUACAGAGUGAGAUUCCGUCUCAA
ensembl:misc_RNA Metazoa_SRP Metazoan signal recognition particle RNA